rnacentral:rRNA from 1 species
GUGGGGAAUAUUGGGCAAUGGGGGAAACCCUGACCCAGCGACGCCGCGUGAGGGAAGAAGGCCUUAGGGUCGUAAACCUCUGUUGUGUGGGAAGAAGAGCGUGACGGUACCACACGAGGAAGUCCCGGCUAACUACGUGCCAGCAGCCGCGGUAAUACGUAGGGGACGAGCGUUGUCCGGAUUUACUGGGCGUAAAGGGCGCGUAGGCGGUCAUUUAAGUCAGCUGUGAAAUGGUUUGGCUUAACCGGAUCAUGCGGUUGAAACUGGAUGACUGGAGUGCUGGAGAGGCAAGUGGAAUUCCCAGAGUAGCGGUGAAAUGCGUAGAUAUUGGGAAGAACACCGGUGGCGAAGGCGACUUGCUGGCCAGCAACUGACGCUGAGGCGCGAAAGCCAGGGGAGCAAACGGGAUUAGAAACCCUAGUAGUCC